rnacentral:rRNA from 1 species
AGGACUGAGAAAAAUCUGUAAAGAAGAAAAUAGAGGGAGGGGGGUUACGUGCAAACAAAGACAGCUAAGGAAAGCAUGGAUUGUAUUAAAGAUUUAGUAAAAUACUAGGCUCGAGACAGGAAAUCUAUAAAAACGCGAUAGGUCAUUUGAGACCAAUCCUCAGUGGGAAUAGAGACCGCUAGUAGAUAAGAUAGAACUCCCAUUCGUUCGAGAGGCUAACGAAUAAAGACAAGGUGAGGUGGUCAAAGGGUAAAUCAGUGCAGGACUCUCAUAUCCGAGAGGAGAAACUGGGUUUGAAGUACCAGGUCAAACGAAUGCGCCACACCAAUGAAUUAUUAGUUGCCAAGCGAGGUCAAUAUGUGGUCAGCUAUAAGAUGAAAGACCUGGAGACAAAACAGGCAGGAAUGUAGGUAGAGGAAGUCAAAUCGUCAUGCCCCAGAAGAUACUGGACUACACACGUACAACAAGGGUAGGUACAACGGGAAGAGAAGACGCGAGGCGGAGCCAUACCUUAUAAGCCGCUCUCACUUCAGAAAGCAGCAGGCAACUCGCCUGCAUGAAGUCGUAACAAGUAGUAAUCGCGGAUCAGCAUGCCGCAGUGAAUACGUUCCCGGGUCUUGUUACACAGGCCGUCACACCACGAGAGUUUACACCACCCGAAGUUAUUGGGGUACACGCAAGGGAGCCAGCCGCCGAAGGUGGGGUAGAUGAUUGAGGGAAGUCGAACCAAGGUAACCGUAAAUC